GUUUUCUUUUAAAACAUAUUUGUCCAAUAAAAAUGAUUAUAGCAUAAUCGGUCCAAAAGUAAUCACCUUACCAAGCUCAGCAUUCAUACACUUACCAUUUCAUUCACUUCACAUAUCAAAGCAAUGAUAUCCAGCAACCAAAUUCUUCAACAAAACCCAACUACCAAUAUAAGAAAAAACAAACAAAGUUAAAAAGCAGAAUAAGCGAAAUGCUUUGUUACCAUCAUUCCAGAGGUAGAGAACAUUGGGAGAAGAUUGCACAAAAAUAUUUUGACCUGGCUCGAUGGUAAGCACUUUAUAUCAAAAGUUAGAAAAACCAAUAUCAAACACCUUAAAAAAACUAUGAAACCUUAUCUUAUGAAAAAUACCAGUCCAGAAGCAAAACAUUAUAAGUUAAGAUUCCUAGGUAUAUGAGAAUUUAUUGUUAUUCUUAUCUAUAUAAAAUAAUAUAUAUAUAAAUAACAUAGUAAAUUAUUAUGUCACAAAAAAAUAGGGUAUAAAUUUACUUAUAAAAAUCUAAAGUCUGAUAAAAUGAAAAAUAUAUAACUGAGCCAUGAAAAUUUUUGUAUCCAGGGUCUUAAUUUAUUAGAUAUACAUCAUAGCAAUUAAGAUUGAUUGUUAAGGGAGAAGUUUAAAGAGUAUUUAUGAAGGUCUUAAAAGCAUUUAAAUAAUUUUUUAUGAUAAGUGUAGGUUUUAUAUG